rnacentral:rRNA from 1 species
CGCCUCUUGAUGAAAUAUAAUAGGUCCAGCCUGCCCAGUGACCUAGUUCAACGGCCGCGGUAUCCUAACCGUGCGAAGGUAGCGUAAUCACUUGUUCUUUAAAUGAGGACUAGUAUGAAUGGCACCACGAGGGUUAAGCUGUCUCCUUUUUCUAAUCAGUGAAACUAAUCUCCCCGUGAAGAAGCGGGGAUUAUAAUAUAAGACGAGAAGACCCUAUGGAGCUUAAAACAAAUUAACACCUGCUUCUACCUAUUUUCCUUCCUGAACUAAUACAUAAAAUAUAGCACCAUUGAUUAAUAGUUUUUGAUUGGGGUGAUCAUGGAGUAAAAAUUAACCUCCACGACGAAAAGGGGCACUUCCCUGAGCUAAAAGCUACAACUUUAGGCACUAAAAAAAUUAACGCACUUUGACCCAAAUUUUUGAGCAACGAACCAAGUUACCCUAGGGAUAACAGCGCAAUCCAUUUCAAGAGCUCCUAUCGACAAAUGGGUUUACGACCUCGAUGUUGGAUCAGGGUAUCCCAGUGGUGCAGCCGCUACUAAAGGUUCGUUUGUUCAACGAUUAAAACCCU